rnacentral:rRNA from 1 species
GUAGGUGGCAAGCGUUGUCCGGAAUUAUUGGGCGUAAAGCGCGCGCAGGCGGUCCUUUAAGUCUGAUGUGAAAGCCCACGGCUCAACCGUGGAGGGUCAUUGGAAACUGGGGGACUUGAGUACAGAAGAGGAAAGCGGAAUUCCAAGUGUAGCGGUGACAUGCGUAGAGAUUUGGAGGAACACCAGUGGCGAAGGCGGCUUUCUGGUCUGUAACUGACGCUGAGGCGCGAAAGCGUGGGGAGCAAACAGGGAUUAGAUACCCUGGUAGUCCACGCCGUAAACGAUGAGUGCUAAGUGUUAGGGGGUUUCCCGCCCCUUAGUGCUGCAGCUAACGCAUUAAGCACUCCGCCUGGGGAGUACGGCCGCAAGGCUG